rnacentral:rRNA from 1 species
AUGGGGCAAAUGACCGGAAGGGUGGAGCUUGAGCACCGACAACACGAGGCCUUGGAGCAAUGGUGUACAAGGCAGGAUGAAAGCUCAACCAACCGGAAAGCAACUAGAGCCAAGUGUCUGCUCGGGAUGUGGAUGAUAUGGAAGCAUUGGAAUGAUAUUGUAUUCAACGGGGUGACACCGUCGGUUACACAAACCAUCCAGCGGAUUCGAGACGAGGGCAAGCUAUGGGCAAAGGCGGGAUUAUUUGAGGGUGAGGCUCAACGGUUGGGUGUAGACCUUGUAGACUGGGAGAUGAGUGAACCUUAG